ACUCCUACGGGAGGCAGCAGUAGGGAAUAUUAGAAAUGGACGAAAGUCUGAUCUAGCAACACCGCGUGUGCGAAGAAGGCCUUCGGGUCGUAAAGCACUUUUUGGAAGGAAUAGGAAGGAAUGUACUUCCAGAAUAAGUCUCGGCUAACUACGUGCCAGCAGCCGCGGUAACACGUAGGAGGCAAACGUUAUCCGGAUUUACUGGGCGUAAAGCGCGUGUAGGUGGUACUGUAAGUAGGGCGUGAAAGCUCCUGGCUCAACUGGGAGAGGCCGUUCUAAACUACAGAACUAGAGGAUGGUAGAGGGAGGUGGAAUUCCAGGUGUAGCGGUGGAAUGCGCAGAUAUCUGGAGGAACACCGGUGGCGAAGGCGGCCUCCUGGACCAUUCCUGACACUCAGACGCGAAAGCUAGGGUAGCAAACGGGAUUAGAGACCCCGGUAGUCCUAGCCCUAAACGAUGUAGACUAGGCGUCGGAAGCUUAAUCGCUUUCGGUGUCCAAGCUAACGCGAUAAGUCUACCGCCUGGGGACUACGGCCGCAAGGUUAAAACUCAAAGGAAUUGACGG
rnacentral:rRNA from 1 species